rnacentral:tRNA from 1 species
GUUGCAGCUCAGUGAUAGAGCAUGCACCUAGCAUGCAUGAGGUCCUGGGUUCAAUUCCCAAGUGCCACA